CUGGUCCCAUCAACCCUAACUUUGUAUCUGCUAAAACUCAGGAUGUGAUAGGUUAUAUUGGGCAACAAUGACAACAAUUCAGUGGGCUAAAGAAAAAGUUUAAUUUCUGCUGAUAUUGCAUAUCCAACAAGGACUGGAAGAGGGAAUCUUCACUUUGGACCCUAAAAGGUCCAGCCUGAUUUUGAAAUUUGAAGACAAAUUGAUAGGUGGAAACACGAUUCAAG
rnacentral:lncRNA from 10 species